UAAGCGGAGGAAAAGAAACUAACAAGGAUUCCCCUAGUACUGCGAGUGAAGCGGGGAAAAGCUCAAAUUUAAAAUCUGGUGGUCUUUGNCCAUCCGAGUUGUAAUCUAGAGAAGCNUCUUCCGCGCUGGGACCGUNCNCAAGUCUCCUGGAACGGGCGUCGUAGAGGGUGAGAAUCCCGUCUUUGGCAUGGACACACCAGGGCUUUUGUGAUGCGCUCUCGAAGAGUCGAGUUGUUUGGGAAUGCAGCUCAAAAUGGGUGGUGAACUCCAUCUAAAGCUAAAUAUUGGCGAGAGACCGAUAGCGAACAAGUACCGUGAGGGAAAGAUGAAAAGCACUUUGGAAAGAGAGUGAAACAGUACGUGAAAUUGUUGAAAGGGAAACGCUUGAAGUCAGUCGCGUCGACCGAGACUCAGCCUCGCCUCGGCUUGGCGUACUUCUCGGCCCGACGGGUCAGCAUCAAUUUCGCCUCUUGGAUAAUGGCGAGGGAAACGUGACACCUUUACGGUGUGUUAUAGUCUCUCGUCGCAUGCAAGGGUCGGGAUUGAGGAACUCAGCACGCGCCUUUGGGCGUCGGGGCUUUGCCUACGAUACGUGCUUAGGAUGUUGGCGUAAUGGCUUUAAACGACC
rnacentral:rRNA from 1 species